rnacentral:rRNA from 1 species
UACGGAGGGUGCAAGCGUUAUCCGGAUUCACUGGGUUUAAAGGGUGCGUAGGUGGGAAUGUAAGUCAGUGGUGAAAUCUCCGUGCUUAACAUGGAAACUGCCAUUGAUACUAUGUUUCUUGAAUUUUCUGGAGGUCAGCGGAAUAUGUCAUGUAGCGGUGAAAUGCUUAGAUAUGACAUAGAACACCAAUUGCGAAGGCAGCUGACUACAGGGACAUUGACACUGAGGCACGAAGCGUGGGGAUCAAACAGG